rnacentral:misc_RNA from 1 species
UGGAAGACGCCUUUGUGCGCUUCAAGACUUUGGCCGACCGCAAGAAGGACAUUUACGACGAAGAUAUCGAGGCGCUGGUCGAUCAGGAGAUCGCUGAAUCGCACGACCGGAUUCAUCUCGUCUCCNUGAUCGCUGGCACGCACGGGCCGCAGCGCGCGACCAUGAAGCUCGACAUCGAAGGCCAGAUCAAAAUCGAGGAAGCCGAGGGCAAUGGUCCGGUGGACGCCACGUUCAACUGCAUCAAGUCGC